GCUUAAAAUUUUAUUAUUAAUUUAUUUUAUAUGUAAAUUUUUGUGAGAGUUAUUAAUUAUUUUAAAAAUAUAUAAUAUAUAAGUAUUCGCAGUAAUUAAUAUUAUUAAUUAAAGAAAUUUAGAAAUAGUAAUAUUAUUUAAUAUUGACUAAAUUUGUGCCAGCAGUCGCGGUUAUACAAAAAAUAUAAAUAAAAUUUUUUAGUAAAAGUUAAAUAUUUAAUUAAAAAUUAUAAUAAUUUUGUUAAGUGAAAUUUUAAAAUUAUUUAUUUUUAUAAAAAAAAAUUAUUGAAGCUUAUAAAUUUUAAAAUUAAACUAGGAUUAGAUACCCUAUUAUUUAUUAUUUAAGUAAAAAUACUAGGGUAGUAAUAGAUAUGUUCUUGAAACUUAAAAAAUUUGGCGGUAUUUUAGUCUAUUCAGAGGAACCUGUAUUAUAAUCGAUAGUCCGCGUUGAAUCUUACUUAAAUUUGUUUUUCAAUUUGUAUACCGUCGUUAUUAGAAUAUUUUAUAAGAAAAAUAAUUUUCAAUAAAUUUAAUUAAAUUUAAUGUCAGAUCAAGGUGCAGUUUAUAUUUAAGUAAUAAUGGGUUACAAUAAAAUUAUUUAUAUGGAUAAAGUAAUGAAAAAUCUUUUAAAAGUGGAUUUGAUAGUAAAAUUAUAAAGAUUAAUAAAUUGAUUAUAGCUCUAAAAUAUGUACACAUCGCCCGUCGCUCUUAUUAUUAAGAUAAGAUAAGUCGUAACAUAGUAGAUGUACUGGAAAGUGUAUCUAGAAUAU
rnacentral:ncRNA from 1 species